ACAUGCCUACAACAUAGCAUUAAUGCAACGGAUCCCAUUAUAACAUUGAAGUUAAGCAUGCUUGAAUUAGAGUAGUACUGGGAUGGGUGACUACUUGGGAAGUCCUAGUGUUUUACAUGCC
rnacentral:rRNA from 1 species